UUUUCUCCUUAGUAUAAAGAGUGCCAGGCAACGGCCAAUGGCUUCUACAAUCCCUUUCAUCCUGGACAGUCCAGUGUUGUGAUACCCUGACACCAAGACCCUUCCUUGGUUGUCUGGCACAGUGCUGCCACAUACCAUCUCAGGAACUUUCAUUUAUUUCCCUUUGUGUCCAAACAUCAGAAAGGCUUUCUGAGUUGCUUGCCAAGGUGUUCUUCAGCCUUCCCUAGGCUAAACUUCUCCAUUGGAUCAAUAGCAGGUGGUCAACAAAGACAAAAACACCAUCUUCAGAAUGACUCAGAUCAUCCUCUUGGGCAGCCCUUUUUGGAUAUCUCUAUGAAAUUCUGCAGCUGAAAGCUGACACGCAUAAUUAUUUCCUGUUAGAUACUGAAGAAAAAAAAAAGCCCAGGAGAUAUUGUCGAGACUGUUUCUGGGGUGUGAUUGGGGGAUAGGAGAUGAAUGGUGUCAGAAUUGGAACAUGAAGUAGAACUUCCAGUAACCCCUAGGAGCAUCAAGUGACCCAGAGAGGUAACCCCCUCCACCAGGGUCCAUUGCAUCCAUUGCUCUCUCACAGCAACUGAGGCUCAUGGGACUGGAGUGGAGUCGGUAGGAAGGAACAGUCUUUGAAGUUAGAUGCGCCAGGUUGUAACCCCACUUCCACCAAUUGUGGUAACUUUGUGAGACAAGCCUCAAAUUUUACCACUGUACCAAGAAAUGAAAGCCAGAAUGUGGAAUUGGAGCUGGUAAUGACGACGUCAGGACAGGUUCAAAGGAAGCCCAUCACUUGAGUAAAAAUUUAUAGCCCUGCUUGUGCUGUGCUGUGCUGUGCUGUGAGUUUCAGUUCCGGGCCAGCAAAAGAUUUAUCAAAGGAAAGCAACAAGGUGUGUGGAAAUAGAAGGUAAGAAAAAUUAAUUUCAGAGAGGAAAAUAAAGUUGCUUGAGGGGCUCUUCAAUGACCAAAGGCCAUAAGAGACUGGAAGGCAAAAGGACCCAUUAAUGUAAUCCAAACAUCAGUCUCCUGCAGCAAAGAGGUGAAUGGAGAAGGGUGGAGAGUAGCUGUGGACGAGUGAAAAAGACAUCGCACCAUGUCUUCAAAUUACAUCCAGCAACUUCAUAUGAACUAUGAAACCCUUGUUGCCACAAUAGUCCCUCUUUGUUUGAACUACUACAAGAAUAAAGAAAUUUCUUUCUAAUCUUUUGCAGAAGAAUUACAUAGACUCUCACUUACUGCUCUUGUUUCAUAGGUGGCUGAUUUUCCAAUUAUAUUAAAUACUUUUGGAAGGGCUGGGACUACAUCUAAUUUCUUGAAAAGUCUGGUGCUGUGGAAGACCAAGACCCAGACUGUUGAGGUCAGCCUAAUGUAAUGUGAAAUAUCUAAACUCUGCGUACUUCUUUACCAUGAGUGUAUAGAUAAAAUAUCAUUGCAUUUAAGGAAAUUGCUUAAAGCCUCACAGUGAAUAAAGUUGACAAAACAUGUAGACUUAUUGCAGAUUUUAUGCAUUUAGGUUUUAUGGCUUCAUUUGCAAUCAGGACUCCCCUCCCCUCCCUUCCUCCCUUCCUUCCCUUCCCUUCCCUGUCCUUCUUUCUUUCCUUUCCUUCCCCUUCCUUCCUUCUCCUCGUCCUGUUU
rnacentral:lncRNA from 1 species